rnacentral:SRP_RNA from 1 species
GCCAGGCAUGAGGGCAGGUACCUGUAGUCCCAGGUACUCAGAAGUUUGAGAUGGGAAGAUUGUUUGCACCCAGGAGUUCUGGGCUAUAGUGCACUAUGCCAAUCAAGUGUCCACACUAACUUCAGCAUCGGUAUGGUGUCCUUCCAGGAGCAGGGGACCACCAGAGGAGUGAACCAGCCAAAGUCAAAAAUGGAGAAGGUCAAACCUCUUGUUCUCAUCAGUAAUGGAAUCACCCCUGUGCAUAGCCACUCACUCUAGCCUGGGAAACAUAACAGGACCCUGUCUCA